AGGACGAACGCUGGCGGCGUGCCUAAUACAUGCAAGUCGAACGGUCUUUCUAUGGAAGCUUGCUUCCACUGAGAAGAUAGUGGCGAACGGGUGAGUAACACGUGGGUAACCUGCCCAUAAGAGGGGGAUAACAUCCGGAAACGGGUGCUAAUACCGCAUAGUUUUCUUGAUCGCAUGAUCGGGAAAGGAAAGACGGCCUUUGUGCUGUCGCUUAUGGAUGGACCCGCGGCGUAUUAGUUAGUUGGUGAGGUAACGGCUCACCAAGACGAUGAUACGUAGCCGACCUGAGAGGGUGAUCGGCCACAUUGGGACUGAGACACGGCCCAAACUCCUACGGGAGGCAGCAGUAGGGAAUCUUCCGCAAUGGACGAAAGUCUGACGGAGCAACGCCGCGUGAGUGAAGAAAAGGUUUUCGGAUCGUAAAACUCUGUUGUCAGAGAAGGACAAGUUGGAGAGUAACUACUCCAGCCUUGACGGUAUCUGACCAGAAAGCCACGGCUAACUACGUGCCAGCAGCAGC
rnacentral:rRNA from 1 species